rnacentral:rRNA from 1 species
GACGUAGGGCGCAAGCGUUGUCCGGAUUUAUUGGGCGUAAAGAGCUCGUAGGCGGCUUGUUGCGUCGACUGUGAAAACCCGUGGCUCAACCAUGUGGUCUGCAGUCGAUACGGGCAGGCUAGAAUUCGGUAGGGGAGACUGGAAUUCCUGGUGUAGCAGUGAAAUGCGUAGAGAUCAUGAGGAAGACCAGUGGCGAAGGCGGGUCUCUGGACAGUUCCUGACACUGAGGCACGAAGGCCAGGGGAGCAAACGGG